rnacentral:rRNA from 1 species
CCUACGGGAGGCAGCAGUAGGGAAUCUUCCACAAUGGGCGAAAGCCUGAUGGAGCAACGCCGCGUGGGUGAAGAAGGUCCUCUGAUCGUAAAACCCUGUUGUUAGAGAAGCAAGUGCGGGAGAGUAACUGUUCACGUUUCGACGGUAUCUAAACAGAACGCCACAGCUAACUACGUGCCAGCAGCCGCGGUAAUACGUAGGUGGCAUGAGUUAUCCCGUUUUAUUGGGCGUAAAGGGAAGGCAGGCGGUCAGUUAAGUCUGAUGUGAAAGCUUUCGGCUUAAACGGAGUAGUGCAUUGGAAACUGGGAGACUUGAGUGCAGAAGAGGAGAGUGGAACGCAAGGUGUAGCGGUGAAAUGCGUAGAUAUA